UAGACAGACAACUGUGCCUUUAACCACUAGCUAGCUGUCUCCUAAGUCUUGGUUUGCAAGUAUUUGCAAGUAUUCCUAAAUAUUGAUUGCAAGGAGAUUGCAAGGAGACCAAGGAUUGUUAUACUGUAACCUAACAAGGACAACUACUGCUACAGCAGCUGUGCAGGCCAAAUCCCCACCUCUUGUCUGCAACAAAUACCUAGAAGAGGGUCAGUAAAAGCCUUGGUCACUCCCUUUCAUUUUUGGUGUAAUAGUUGCAGAACAUAAGCAGAUGUGAAUGAACUGUAAUUUGCCUCCCACACAUGUUACAUUAUCUUUCCUUCUUUCUCAAACCCAUUACUGUUAUAAACUUCCUUUUUUCUAGGCACUAUCAUCCUUUGAACUAGAUACCCAGGUUCAAAACCUUAUUAUCAUUCUCAACCACUUUUUUGUAACCCAUAUAUGGUCAGUUGCCAAGCAAUUGUCUCUGCCACAGUGUCUGUGUCUGCCAUGACUAUCUGUCUCGUGGAUCUCCUUUCCACUUCAUAUAUCCUCUAACCUAAUCCAAGGUUGGCAGCUAGGUGGUACACUGGAUAUAGUUGCAGGAUUUAGAGUCAGGAAGAUCUGAGUUCACAGCAUGCCUCAAAACAUUUAGUAGGAAGAGGCAGCGGGGUGGCUCAGUGGAUUGAGAGUCAGGCCUAGAGACAGGAGGUCCUAGGUUCAAAUCUGGCCUCAGAUACUUCCCAGCUGUGUGACCCUGGGCAAGUCACUUAACACGCCCCCUCCCCCACCCCAUUGCCUAGCCCUAACCACUCUUCUGCCUUCACAGUAUUGACUCUGAGACAGAAGGUAUGGGUUUAAUUUAAAAAUAAAAACAAAAACAAAA